UGAGCAAUCUGCCCUUCUCAUCGGAAUAAGCGUUGGAAACGACGUCUAAUGCCGAAUACGACCUCCUUUCGCAUGAUCGGAGGUGGAAAGCUCCGGCGGAGAAGGAUGAGCUCGCGGCCUAUCAGCUAGUUGGUGUGGGUAAUGGCCCACCAAGGCGAUGACGGGUAGCCGGCCUGAGAGGGUGACCGGCCACGCUGGGACUGAGACACGGCCCAGACUCCGUAGGAGG
rnacentral:rRNA from 1 species